rnacentral:rRNA from 1 species
ACACAUGCAAGUCGAGCGGAAAGGCCCUUUCGGGGGUACUCGAGCGGCGAACGGGUGAGUAACACGUGAGUAAUCUGCCCUGCGCUCUGGGAUAGCCACCGGAAACGGUGAUUAAUACCGGAUAGGACCACUUCACGCAUGUGAUGGUGGCGGAAAGUUUUUUCGGCGCAGGAUGUGCUCGCGGCCUAUCAGCUUGUUGGUGAGGUAACGGCUCACCAAGGCUUUGACGGGUAACCGGCCUGAGAGGGUGACCGGUCACACUGGGACUGAGACACGGCCCAGACUCCUACGGGAGGCAGCAGUGGGGAAUAUUGGACAAUGGGCGGAAGCCUGAUCCAGCAACGCCGCGUGAGGGAUGACGGCCUUCGGGUUGUAAACCUCUUUCAGUACCGACGAAGCGAAAGUGACGGUAGGUACAGAAGAAGGACCGGCCAACUACGUGCCAGCAGCCGCGGUAAUACGUAGGGUCCGAGCGUUGUCCGGAAUUAUUGGGCGUAAAGGGCUCGUAGGCGGUUUGUCGCGUCGGGAGUGAAAACACCGGGCUUAACUCGGUGCUUGCUUUCGAUACGGGCAGACUAGAGGUAUGCAGGGGAGAAUGGAAUUCCUGGUGUAGCGGUGAAAUGCGCAGAUAUCAGGAGGAACACCGGUGGCGAAGGCGGUUCUCUGGGCAUUACCUGACGCUGAGGAGCGAAAGUGUGGGGAGCGAACAGGAUUAGAUACCCUGGUAGUCCACACCGUAAACGUUGGGCGCUAGGUGUGGGGCCUAUUCCAUGGGUUCCG